rnacentral:rRNA from 1 species
UCGGGAAUUUUGCUCAAUGGGGGAAACCCUGAAGCAGCAACGCCGCGUGCGGGAUGAAGGCCUUCGGGUUGUAAACCGCUUUUACCAGGGACGAUAAUGACGGUACCUGAUGAAUAAGUCACGGCUAACUACGUGCCAGCAGCCGCGGUAAUACGUAGGUGACCAGCGUUGUCCGGAUUUACUGGGCGUAAAGAGCGCGCAGGCGGUCCAAUAAGUCGAGUGUGAAAGCCCCCGGCUCAACUGGGGAGGGUCAUUCGAUACUGAUGGACUUGAAGGCAGGAGAGGGAAGCGGAAUUCCCGGUGUAGUGGUGAAAUGCGUAGAUAUCGGGAGGAACACCAGUGGCGAAGGCGGCUUCCUGGCCUGUUCUUGACGCUGAGGCGCGAAAGCUAGGGGAGCAAACG